ACCAGAAGCAGAGGCUGGCACCAUGUUUGUUAUGCAGCCUGCAGAACCGCUGGGGACAGCUCUCUGAAAAUAGGAAUAAAUAGUGGCUCCUCGAUAAACACCUUCUUGCCUACAGCAUGUGUGACUGCAAACACAUUCCCACUUCAACUAAUCCAAGACGAGAAGGAUGACAAAAUAAGAGAAAUCAUGGGAAAAACUGCCCAUUUCUGUUUUGUCCACUUUGCUUUGGGAAGUGAGAGCUAUAGUCAUUAUCACCACAUCCCCUGGCAUCCAAUUCCGACAAUGAUCUCUGACCUUGCCACUAAGAGUAAAAAAAUGUGCUGAACACCUUUACUGGGAUACUAGUCACUGAUUAAUAAUUCAAUUCCAGCUUUCCUGGAAGCCAGAAGUCAAAAUAUACUUGGGAUUUCUAUAAAUAUUUUUUAAUUAUGACCAUCGAACUCCAAGUACUUCAGAUUUGGAACUCGGACUGCUUUCCUUGCUCCUCAGCCUGCAGAUGGCCUAUUGUGGGACCUUGUGAUUAUGUAGUGAGACGAGCAUGAGUGGAGCAGGAGACGGCUGUCCCCCACCCACAAGGAAUAUCAGAUGAUGGUUCAGCGAUCAUCACAUUGCCUCUCUGAAAGUGAUAAAUUGGCAGCUGGCACCAGGGAGAGGCUAUUUCCUGAUGGCCCACACCUGUUGCACUAAGAUGUUAAUCGAAUGCAGAUUCCAGGGAGAAACAACUUCCUGGGCAUGUGCGUAAGAGACAAAAUGGCAGUAAAAAUUAGAGAAUGAGAUCAGAAUAUGGAUACAUUGCAAGAGGUGGAGCCCUGGAACAAAAGUAAGAGAUUAUGCAGUGUCACUCCCCAGACAUCUAUAAAGAUUUCUACUGAACAAGUCAGCCAUCGAAGCAGAUUAUUCACCAUCUGUGGUCAUCAAUUCCAAAGGAAUUUUUGUUUCUGGUAAUGGCCAAAUAAGCAUCUAUAUGAAUAUUUUCUACAGAUAAUAAAUAUAAACUGUGAACAAAUGUAAAAAGAAAAAAAAAAGACCAGCCAAAGGCACUGGAAAUGACCCUAAAAGAGCAUAUUCUGAAGAGUAGUCUACAAUAGAAAAGGGAAAAUGACACUGACUGAGUCUCUCAUUUACUUUAGCUGUUAGACUAAAGGCAGUUCUAAACCAUGCCAUGGAUAGUAGCCAAAACUGCGAUAGAAAGGGCAUUGUCUUUCUGAUUUUAAAGGUGUACUAGAAGAGAGAGUUUGGGACAACCAUAGCUGCUAGUAAGUGAGAAUACACACUGCACAGGAAAAGAGCCAGAAAAAGAGAAGGUCGCCAACUUGAAAUUAUAAACUGUGUCCAUGUUUUUAGAAUAAUGACUUUGUGGAUCUGACUCCAAGCAAGUCACCUAAGGAUAAAAUAACUGAAGCAAGACUUCAGCUGCCACACAAAGAUAGAUUUUGCAGAGGUGUGAUUUCAACCAAGUAAAUUACAUUACAGACUAAAUAGAAAUAAAAGAUUCAGAAGAAGAUUACAAAACUCAUGAUCUCCAAAAGAUAAUAUUCAUAAUUUCCAACAUGCAUCCUAAAUUACUCCAAAACAUGAAUAAAGAAGAAUGUUUUUUAUUCUCAAGAUAAAUGAAAAUCAACAGAGACUGACAGCAAAAUGACUCAGAUGUUGGAAUUGGCACAACAAAGAUUUUAAAGGAAUUAUGCUGAGUGAUGUAAAGGAAAAUAUGUUUGAAAUGAAUGAAAAAUUAAGAAAUCACAGCAAAGAGAUAGAAAUUAUAAAAAAUGACUACAUAAAGACAGUAAUAAGGUGUCUUUUCAAUUUAUAUGGAAGUACAAAGUUCUAGCAUAUUCAAAGCAAUUCUGAAAAAAAGCAUAGUUUAAAGCAAUUCUAAAAAAGAAUAGCAUAGUUUAACUAUAAUAAAUGUUUUCAAGAAUAUUAUAAAGCUAUAGGAAUCAAAAUAAUAUGGCAAUGAUGUAAAGAUUGAUUAGCAAAGCCAUAGAAUAAAAUUUGAAGCCCAGAAAUAGAUUUGCACAUAUUGGGGGGGUUAUUUAACUUUUUACGAAUAUAUUAAAGCAAUUCAAUGAAUGUGCAGGGAAGGAGUAAUUCACAUGCCUGGGUUGCUCAAACCCUGUAUAUUUCCCAUAAGCAUCUUUCUUCAGGGUGGGCCCUUGGCUGGCUCCUCAAAAAUGAGCUCCGAGGCUCUGGAAUAUUCUGCCUGAGAAGAGUGCUUCUGUAUGUCUGACACCUCCGUCCAUGUGGUAAAAAUAAUGUUCAAACUGUUUACACUAAUUAUGUGUUUUAUUGUGAACAACUGUUUUUGUAAGCCUGAGACUUUAGAUUACAAAGUACAAGUUUAAAUGGGUAGUUUUUGUUAACAAUGAGAUUUAUGGUAAGUGUAUGAGGAACUAAAAUCUCAACAGCUGAGGACAGUUAUACAGGUGCUGCAUGCCUACGUGACUGACCCCUAAUAAAACCUCUGAAGACCAAGGCAAGAUUGAGCUUCCUGACUGGAAAUACAUCACAUGUAUUGCCACACAUCAUUGCUGGGAUAAUAAAGCACAUCCAUAGGACUCCACUGUGGGAGGACACCUAGAAGCCCAUGCUUCAUGUCUUCUAGACUUUAUCCCAUGUACCUUUACAAUUUGCUAAUUUUAAUGUGUAUCUUUUCAUUGUAAAAGACACUAAACAUGGAGAUAGUAGGUUUUUCUGAGUCUAGAGAAUCUUCAUUCUCUAGAAUGAAGUGGUAGUGGUCAUGAGGAGUCUCUACCCAUAAAUAAAACAUAUUUUUAAUGAAUGAUACUGAAAUAACUAUAUUUAUAUGGAAAAAAUGAAUCUCCACCCAUAACUCACAAUAUACCUAAAAAUAAUUCAAAAUGAAUUAUUGACCGAAACAUAGAAGCUUAUACAAAAGAUUUUCAGAAUAAAAUAUGGAAGAAUGACUAUUUGACAUAGAGCUAGGCAAAGUUUUCUUAUAGGUAGAUAAGAUACAGGACAAAUGAUGACAUAUGGAAAAAAUGAUAUGUUUGACUUUACCAAAAACAAAUCAUCAGUGAAUCAAAAUACUCACAAAAUACAACUCCUACAGCAAAACAUUAUAAAGACAAACAACCUUUUAAAAUGGGAAAAAUGUUUGAACACACAUUUUAUACAUUAAGAUGUAUAAGUGGAUAAUAAACACAUAAAAACUGUUCAGCAUCACUAAGUAAGUAGGGAAUGGUACAUUAAAGCAACAUUGUGAUAUCAUUACACACCCUCUAGGAAUGGCUAAAAUUAAAAAGACUGAAAACAUCAAAUUUUGGCAAGGUUAGGGCCAAUUAAAAUUUUCAUACAUUGCUGGUAAAAAUGAAAAUGUCACAACCACUUUGGAAAAAAUUUUUAAAAUUUUUUACAAAACUUCAUAUAGAUCCAUUAUAUGACCCAACCAUUCUACUGCUAGACAUACACUCAAAAUGAAGAAACACGUACAAAAAGAUUUCUACAAGAAUGAUUUUAGCAGCUUCACAACAAACCAGGUGUUGGUCAAUAGGAAGAUGAAAAAUCAAAAUAUAGUAUAGCUAUAAAAUACAAUAAUAUUUAGGAUAAAAAUAAUAAAUGCAUGUUAUAACUAAUAAUAUCAUGACUGAAUCUCAAAAAUAUUUUGCUGAGUUAAACAAGCUUUGCACAAAGUAGUAUAUUAUGUAUGAUCCCAUGUAUAGAAAUAUCUAGAAUAAGGAAAAACAAAUUAUGAUAGAAAAGAUGUUGCUUCUGGUGAUUGGGUGGAGCUCUGAUGGACUGGGAAGGAGCAUGAGGGAGCUUUGUGGGUUGAUGGUAAUUUAUGUACCCUGACAGGGGUUUGGUUUACAUAGCUGUAUUCAUUUGUCAAAACUUAUAUUAAAUGGUGCAAUUAAUAUUGAUGCAUUUCAUUGUAUGUAAAUUUUACCCUAAAAUAAUUUUAGACAAAUUGUAAAACCUAGUUAAAGACAUAUAUGCUGAUAUUUUCAGGGUUACCUCUCUUGAUGUCUGCAACUUACUUUGAAAUGCUUCAAAAGGAAAAUAGGAUAAUGGAUGGAAAUAGGGAGAGAGAAAUGGAUCGAUGUGUAAAUAAAACAAAUCUAUCUAAAUGUUAAAGCUUAAUUGUAGAUGAUGAAUGUAGGAGUGUUGAAUGUUAAAUUCUUUCAACUUUUAUGUUGAAAAAUCGUCAUAAUAAAAUAUUUGAAAAAUGUAUACAUUGAAAUAUUACAGCAAGUAUACUAUUUUUACUGUGAUUUUGGAACUGAAGUUACUAUUACUGAUAGUAUACUGAAGUAUACUAUUUUUACUGUGAUUUUGAAACUCAAGAUAAUUUCCUGAAGAAAGUUUUUUGACAAUUUUACUUUUGAAAAUUCCCAUUGAUCUGUUAGUUAUCUUCAAAACGUCUGGAGAAAAGUCAGGAUAUAUAUAUAACAGCAAAUGGGCAAUUUCUACUGUUUUCAUUACUUUGGUUUUAGAAUUGCCACUACUGCUUGCUUAAUAUUUAAAAUUUGCUGGUCUUAAAGCAACAGUCUAUUUUCCAAUCUUGGGGAAGAUUAUGGUCGUAUAAUAUACCAGAUGGACGCAUUAGUACUGUUAAAAAAAAAGACUAGUUGCCUAUAUGAAUUGCAAACUUAAUAAAGAAAAUGAACUAGGAAGAAUGAAAUAAAAAGUUCUAUUAGGUUUAUUAUAGUCUACAAUGUUCUCACUGUCCAGAAAUAGUCUACUGGAAUUUGGAGAUAUUUCAUCAUUAUGCCCUUAUAUUGUCCCUAUUCCUUCUGUUUAAAUUUUUAUAAUAGCUCUUUAAAAUACGUUAGUUGUUACCACCUUUUAAUCUAUCUCUAUUUCAUGCAAGCAAUAAGAUAAAUGACUAAAUGAGCUCAAUUUAACAACAUUGUAGGCAUAUUCUCACACUUUAUCUUAUAGAUCAUCUUAACACACUCAUUGCACUUCACUGAAAUACCAUGCCUAGUUCUUAAUAUCAUUUCUAAACUUAAUAAGGAACAAGUCAA
rnacentral:lncRNA from 1 species